GCGUUGUCUGCCAACAAUGCAACGGUUAGCAUACGCUCUCGGAAAGAGUGAGAUCUGGGUUCGAAUCCCGGCUGACGCA